rnacentral:rRNA from 1 species
UAAAGGUCGAAAGGGGAGAUUCAGUAUCCAUUCCUCGCCGCCGCUCCGUGCCGCGAGUACAACUCGGGGUGCCCUCUCGGGGGUGGCCCUGGGCUCGCGGCGCGGUCUCGCGCGCGGGAGGUGGAGCGCACUUCUCCCCGAGUAGGACGCCGCGACCCGCUGGGUGUCGGUCUGAGGCCUGGUGGCGAGUCCGUGUUGCGAAUUUCGCCUCGCGGAGCCCCGGUGUCCCGACCGACCGCUCGGCGGUCGAACGUGAGGAACUGGCCCGCGCUCUUUUGCGCGCCCGUGCCGCUUGCGAGCGUCCGGCUGAAUCCCGUCGCGCGGACUUGUCCGCCGCGGGCCAGUCGGCGUUGUCGGCUCGCGGACUUCUCGGGCAGCGGCCUCUCCUGUUUGCGGCGCUCAAAGCUGGGCGGCCCACCCGGCCCGUCUUGAAACACGGACCAAGGAGUCUAACAUGUGCGCGAGUCAUUGGGUCCCACUAAACCCAAGGGCGCAUUGAACGAGAAGGCCGGCCUCGCGCCGGCUAAGGGAAGAUGGGGCCUCGCUCGCGGGGCCCCCGCAUUCCCGGGGCGUCUCGUCCUACCGGGGCUCGUCUCCGGAAGGUGAGGCGCACCAAGAGCGCACACGUUGGGACCCGAAAGAUGGUGAACUAUGCCUGGUCAGGACGAAGUCAGGGGAAACCCUGAUGGAGGUCCGUAGCGAUUCUGACGUGC